GUGAGUAUGGCGAAAUUGGCAGACGCAUAAGAUUUAGGUUCUUACGGUGAUAAACCGUGCAGGUUCAAAUCCUGCUAUUCACA
rnacentral:tRNA from 1 species